rnacentral:rRNA from 1 species
GAUGAACGCUAGCUGGAGGCUUAAUACAUGCAAGUCGAGCGGGAUUGGUAGCAAUACCAUGAGAGCGGCGCACGGGUGAGUAACGCGUACACGACCUACCUCUGACAGGGGGAUAGCCCUGGGAAACUGGGAUUAAUACCGCAUAUUAUUCUGAUUAAUAAAGGAUUGGAAUGAAAGUUCAGGCGGUCAGAGAUGGGUGUGCGUCUGAUUAGCUAGUUGGUAGGGUAACGGCCUACCAAGGCGAUGAUCAGUAGGGGGCGUGAGAGCGUGGUCCCCCACACGGGUACUGAGACACGGACCCGACUCCUACGGGAGGCAGCAGUAAGGAAUAUUGGACAAUGGCCGCAAGGCUGAUCCAGCCAUCCAGCGUGCAGGAAGAAGGCCCUAUGGGUUGUAAACUGCUUUUAUCAGGGAAUAAACCUCUGGAUUCACUCCGGAGCUGAAGGUACCUGAAGAAUAAGCACCGGCUAACUCCGUG